ACGCUGGCGGUGCGCCUUAUGCAUGCAGGUCGAGCGAAGCUUUUCAGUAGUUUACUACAGAAAAUGACUGAGCGGCGAACGGGUGAGUAACGCGUGAGCAAUCUACCUUAGUUACAGGGAUAGCCCGAGGAAACUCGGAUUAAUACCUGAUAUUCUUUAUUUCUCGCAUGAGAAUAAAAGGAAAGGUCAGCCGAACUAAGAUGAGCUCGCGUUCUAUCAGCUAGUUGGUGAGGUAAAAGCUUACCAAGGCUACGACGGAUAGCUGGUCUGAGAGGACGAUCAGCCACACUGGGACUGAGACACGGCCCAGACUCCUACGGGAGGCUGCAGCAGGGAAUAUUGUGCAAUGAACGAAAGUUUGACACAGCGACACCGCGUGUGGGAUGACGGAUCUAGGUUUGUAAACCACUUUCAGGAGGGAAGAAAAUGACGGUACCUCCACAAGAAGCCCCGGCCAACUACGUGCCAGCAGCCGCGGUAAUACGUAGGGGGCGAGCGUUGUCCGGAUUUAUUGGGCGUAAAGAGCUCGUAGGCGGUUCAACAAGUCGGUCGUGAAAGUUCAGGGCUCAACCCUGAAAUGUCGAUCGAUACUGUUGUGACUAGGAUAC
rnacentral:rRNA from 1 species